UGCGUAGGCGGGCUAAUAAGUCAGUGGUGAAAUCUCUCGGCUCAACCGGGAAACUGCCAUUGAUACUAUUAGUCUUGAGUUCGGUUGAGGUAGGCGGAAUGUGUAAUGUAGCGGUGAAAUGCUUAGAUAUUACACAGAACACCAAUUGCGUAGGCAGCUUACUAGACCGACACUGACGCUGAGGCACGAAAGCGUGGGGAGCGAACAGGAUUAGAUACCCUGGUAGUCC
rnacentral:rRNA from 1 species